rnacentral:rRNA from 1 species
CUACCCGGGUAUCUAAUCCUGUUCGCUCCCCAUGCUUUCGCUCCUCAGCGUCAGGUAAUGCCCAGAGAACCGCCUUCGCCACCGGUGUUCCUCCUGAUAUCUGCGCAUUCCACCGCUACACCAGGAAUUCCGUUCUCCCCUGCAUACCUCUAGUUUGCCCGUAUCGUAAGCACGCUCAGGGUUGAGCCCUGAGUUUUCACUCCCGACGCGACAAACCGCCUACGAGCCCUUUACGCCCAAUAAUUCCGGACAACGCUCGGACCCUACGUAUUACCGCGGCUGCUGGCAC